rnacentral:rRNA from 1 species
UGGGGAAUAUUGGACAAUGGGCGCAAGCCUGAUCCAGCCAUGCCGCGUGGAUGAUGAAGGCCUUAGGGUUGUAAAGUCCUUUUAACGGGGAAGAUAAUGACGGUACCCGUAGAAUAAGCCCCGGCUAACUUCGUGCCAGCAGCCGCGGUAAUACGAAGGGGGCUAGCGUUGCUCGGAAUUACUGGGCGUAAAGCGCACGUAGGCGGCUCUUUAAGUCGGGGGUGAAAUCCUGGAGCUCAACUCCAGAACUGCCUUCGAUACUGAGGAGCUCGAGUCCGGGAGAGGUGAGUGGAACUGCGAGUGUAGAGGUGAAAUUCGUAGAUAUUCGCAAGAACACCAGUGGCGAAGGCGGCUCACUGGCCCGGUACUGACGCUGAGGUGCGAAAGCGUGGGGAGCAAACA